UGAUGGGCUGCCUCUCACUGGAGGGAUUCCUGGAGAAGCUGCAGUGUGGUGAUGCUCUACAAGCUGCACAGCCCCCAGUAUCUCUCCUCCUCCUCCACCGCCCAGCCAGCAGCAGCUGAAACUUAACACCCAACACAAAGCGAACCCCACUGAGAGCAGGGGACUAUAGAAACCUGCUGGUGGAUGUGGGAGGUCUGCCACACACACACACAUCUUUUUGUAUUGCAGUCUCCUCCCAUGAGAGGCAGAGAGAGCGUGUGAUUGCUACUAGACAAGGAGGCGAGAGCACUGAAGGACAAACAGACUCCUCCUGCCCUGGUUGCCAGACCCAGCUGAAUGAUUUCUGUCAGAUGGGAAGUAGAAGAGAGAAAUCUCUAGGUAAAUGUAACUGGAAAGCUUUCCAAGAGGAGUCCUAAAUGAGCACAGAAAAGCACUUGGCCACAAUCUGCAGACAGAUUGAAAAAGAAAGGGGAGCUUGAGCAGUGAAGAAUUUAGAACCUGACUGGUACAUACUUCACUCGAGAUUUCCCUGUGAGCAGAAAACUGCAUUGAUGCCGAUCAUAUAAGAAACCUGGAAUCCUGAACAAAGAAAAGAUUUGGUCACAGAAUCUGUAUUCUGAACAUAGCUGUUUCCCUGGAAACGAAAAUGGUGAGUGAAAGUCGUCACGAGGCCCUGGCCGCACCACCAGCCACCACCAUUGCAGCUUCACUGCCAAUUAAUGUCACAGAACCAGCCAGUCCUGGAGCAGGAGGUGGAAAAGAAGAUGCAUUUUCAAAGUUAAAGGAGAAGUUUAUGAAUGAACUGAAUAAAAUUCCAUAAAUUUCAAACUAUUUAGAAGCAACAAAGACUCCAUCUCAGCUUUUUACUUCCUUCAUUUUAAACAGAAAAAUCCCAACAUUUAAAUGAAAGAGAAGGAAGAAACAAAUCAAAAGGAAAGAAAAUGGCACUGUCAAACUGAUGAAAGGGAAAUUGCUUUGAAAAGUUUUUCAGACCUCCUUUUAUUCAUUUCUUUUCUUUCUCUCAUCGUUUUUCCUCUUGGUCCCUCUCUACAGGCCAGCAAAGCUCUUGUCCUUACAGUAACUGAUGUAUAUUAAUGUUCAUUUUCUUUACAUUCGAGAAUCCCAGCCCCGCCUCCUAAAUUCUGUAGUGAACACUAUGUAAACAAAAGUGUAUUGCAAGUGGUUCUGGGGACAAGGGCCUUACAGUACUGAAGGAAGGAGAGAUCAGGGAGGGAGAAGGUGAGAGGGAAAAGGAUAAAUCAUAGAACAGAGGAGGGGGAAGUAGAAAGGGCAAAGCAGGGGGGCUACCCCUUUUUAAAAAAAUCCCUUUAAGCUGCUUGACGGUCCCCAUGGAAUUUUUAUUGGGGUGAUUUCCCCCUUAAUUUGAAGUUUAAAUGUUUAGUUUAAAAUUUUGAUGAUGAUGAUAACGAUAAUUACACUACAUAAAUGAGCACCCAUCUCAAAUGCUAGAUGACUUUAAAAAACUCUUUAAAAUAUAUUCAUACAUAAACACAUUCCUGUAAUUGCCCACAGAUAACACUCUCCUGGGAGCAACAUAAGUUUAACAAACAUAAAUAAGCCCCACAACAAAGCCUACCAGAGUUCCCCUAAUAAUAAUAAUAAUAAUAAAUAUGAGACUGCUUCCUGUACCCUUAGAAGUAACUGUAUUGGAAUUCAGCUGUCAUAACUUCCAGAGCUUGAUGUAUGUUUCUCCCUCCCUGUCUUUCUUUUUCUAUCCAUUCUGGCCCCCUUGAUUUACCAGUUUAGGUUGGAUUAAGUGUUCUUAUUACCGCCUCUAAGAGACAUUAAACUCAUUUCUUGAUUUUUCUCUCUUCCUUGACACCGGGAUUUUGGGCUAUUACUUUGAAUGAUACUUUCUAAUUACAUUUUGGGUUUUUACACACACUCCUACAUGGUAUUUCUGAAAUCUAACUUUUAUGGGCCAGCCAUUUUUACUGUAUUUAGAAAAUAACUUAGGGCUUUGUUCAGCUUUCAACUUUCUCCAUAGUUGUCACUCCACUGAGGUCAAUGGGACACUCAUGAGGUUCUGGUCAGCGUGACUAAGAAUGGAUAGAGAAUUGUCGGAGAAAAAUACAGUUCUCACUUUUUGUUUGGGUACAGCAAGUCAGAUGCUUUAUUUUCUCUCUAUCAAUUGCAUAGAGGGAGAGAGCUAAACAGGUCUUUCAACA